AAUUAACCCUUUAGGAAUAAGUUAGACCAAUAUGUAAUGGCGGUCUUUUUAUUUUAGAGAAACUCGCUUUAUAAUCGAAAACACUCGUUAAAUUUAACUUUAUUUAAUAGUUUAUAUACCGCCGUUACUCAGAAUUAUUAAUUUAAUAAAAUACUUAAAAUUUAAAAAUAAAAAAUCAGGUCAAGGUGUAACAAAUAAUAAAGAAAAAGUAAGUUACAUUAAAUAUAAUUUAAGGAUUUUUUAUAAAAAUAAAUAUUUGAAAAAGAAUUUAUAUGUAUGUAUUAAUUAAAAACUAGUACAGAAACAAAACUAAAGAUGC
rnacentral:rRNA from 1 species